GGUGGUGGAGAAAGAUCCGAGGUUGAAAUUCGGUGGUUGUUUGGUUUUGAUUUAGUUCAGAUUUGGCCGGAGAAGAUAGAAGAAAAGAUUGGGGUAUGUUGGUGUGGUUGUCGGAGCUGUUUGGGGAUGGAGAAAGGAGGAAGAGAGUCGUGGUUUGUGGUGGAUGGUCGGUGGGCUGGUGGAUGUUUCGCUGGCGUUGGUGGCGCGUGGUGGUGCGGGGCAAAUGGAGAGGGGGAAAAGAAGAGGAAAAGGGGAGAAGGGGGCUGGUUGGUGGAGGUUGCCGUGGUGGCCGGAGCUCCGGUGGUAAAGGGCGAUAGGGAAAGGGGGGAAAAGAGAAGAAAAAUGUGAGAUAAGAGAGAGAGAAUA
rnacentral:lncRNA from 1 species